AGACGGGGGGUGCUAGCGUUGUUCGGAAUUACUGGGCGUAAAGGGCGCGUAGGCGGCUCUGCGAGUCGGGCGUGAAAUCCCGGGGCUCAACCCCGGAACGGCGCUCGAUACUGCGGGGCUGGAGACCGGAAGAGGAGGGUGGAAUUCCCAGUGUAGAGGUGAAAUUCGUAGAUAUUGGGAGGAACACCGGUGGCGAAAGCGGCUCUCUGGUCCGGUUCUGACGCUGAGGCGCGAAAGCGUGGGGAGCAAACAGGAUUAGAAACCCUAGUAGUCCC
rnacentral:rRNA from 1 species